rnacentral:rRNA from 1 species
UACAGAGGGUGCGAGCGUUAAUCGGAAUUACUGGGCGUAAAGGGUGCGUAGGCGGUUCGUUAAGUCUGUCGUGAAAUCCCCGGGCUCAACCUGGGAAUGGCGAUGGAUACUGGCGAGCUAGAGUGUGUCAGAGGAUGGUGGAAUUCCCGGUGUAGCGGUGAAAUGCGUAGAGAUCGGGAGGAACAUCAGUGGCGAAGGCGGCCAUCUGGGACAACACUGACGCUGAAGCACGAAAGCGUGGGGAGCAAACAGG